rnacentral:misc_RNA from 1 species
GGGGAUUCAACUUAUCUUCCAGAGGCAGUUCUCAAUAUUCCCCCUAACCCAUCAAUGCAAGAAGCUCGAAAAGAAGCUGAGGCUGUGAUGUUUGGUUGUGUUGAUGAGCUUUUGGCCAAGACCUCAAUUAAACCCAAAGAUAUUGGAAUCUUGAUUGUGAAUUGCAGCUUGUUCAAUCCUACCCCAUCUCUUUCUGCCAUGGUUAUCAACCAUUACAAGCUUCGAGGCAAUAUAGUUAGCUACAACCUAGGUGGGAUGGGUUGUAGUGCAGGUCUGAUCUCAAUAGCUCUAGCCAAGGAUCUUCUUCAGGUCCAUCCCAACUCCUAUGCAUUGGUCAUCAGCAUGGAGAACAUCACAUUAAAUUGGUACUUUGGAAAUGACCGUUCAAAGCUCGUUUCAAACUGUUUAUUUAGAAUGGGAGGGGCUGCAAUUCUCCUUUCAAACAAAGGGUCUGACAGAAGAAGGUCAAAGUACCAAUUGGUACAUACUGUCCGCACUCACAAGGGUGCUGAUGAUAAGUGCUUCACAUGUGUUACCCAAGAAGAGGACUCCAAUGGGAAGGUUGGUGUUACUUUGUCGAAGGAUCUCAUGGCAGUUGCAGGUGAUGCUUUGAAAACUAACAUCACUACAUUAGGGCCUCUUGUUCUGCCAAUGUCUGAACAGCUACUAUUCUUUGCCACAUUAGUUGGUAAAAAGCUUUUCAAGAUGAAGAUCAAGCCUUACAUCCCUGAUUUCAAGCUAGCUUUUGAGCAUUUCUGCAUUCACGCUGGGGGAAGAGCAGUUCUGGAUGAAUUGGAGAAAAACUUGCAGCUAUCUGAUUGGCAUAUGGAGCCAUCAAGGAU